rnacentral:tRNA from 1 species
GCCGGGCUGGUGCGCGCGGCGGCCCUGCUGGCGUUCCGGCCGCUGCUGACCGCGGUCGCCGUGGUGCGCGCGGGGGUCCGGGCCGCGGCCCGCCGC